GCCGUUUACAGCCAUCGGUCCAAGCUUUCCAAAAGUGCUGCAGUAUUUCAGAGCCAGCCAUAGAGGAGGAAGUGCUGAGCACAAGUGGUUUGCAAGGAGUGAUAAUAGGAUAAUAAAUUACCUCAAGCACUAUGUCAAAUUGCCCAUUGUUUAUACCCUAUUAAAAUACACAGCUUUUCGCCAUGUAUGUAAUUUGGAAACCGAAGAAAUGGAGGUAAGUUGCACAUUUCCAAUAAGGUUAACCCAGUGACUGUGAAGGUAUCAAUUUCUGGCUCAUUUCCAGCAUGCACUG
rnacentral:lncRNA from 11 species